UCCCUCUAUAUCCCGCUCUCGUUCUCUCUCUCCCCCUCCAACAGUCAAUGACUUCUCAAUCAGUCCAGACAACAGACAAAUUAACAGGCUGGGUGUCAACCAGGGGUGCAGUGGAGCGGUUCGAGAGGUUCCUCGGUGUCCAAAUCACCAAGGACUUAAAAUGGUCCACACACGCACACUGUCAUGAAGAACUCGUGGGACAUCAAAUCCUCAAAAAGUUAUACAGCUGUACCAUUGAGAGCAUCUUGACAGGCUGCGGACAUCCCAGGACAUCACUGGGGCCGAACUCCCUGCCAUUCAGGACCUCUACAUCAGGCUCCCUGCCAUUCAGGACCUCUACAUCAGGCUCCCUGCCAUUCAGGACCUCUACAUCAGGCUCCCUGCCAUUCAGGACCUCUACAUCAGGCUCCCUGCCAUUCAGGACCUCUACAUCAGGCUCCCUGCCAUUCAGGACCUCUACAUCAGGCUCCCUGCCAUUCAGGACCUCUACAUCAGGCUCCCUGCCAUUCAGGACCUCUACAUCAGGCUCCCUGCCAUUCAGGACCUCUACAUCAGGCUCCCUGCCAUUCAGGACCUCUAUAUCAGGCUCCCUGCCAUUCAGGACCUCUACAUCAGGCUCCCUGCCAUUCAGGACUUCUAUAUCAGGCGGGUUGAAAGGAAGGCCCAAAAAUCGUUGAAGACUCCAGCCACCCUAGCCAAGCGUCAGCUGGAAUGGUGUAAAGCUCGUCGCCAUUGGACUCUGGAGUAGUGGAAACAUGUUCUCUGGAGUGAAUAAUCACGCUUCACUAUCUGGCAGUACGACAGACAAUGCAUAGUGCCAACUGUAAAGUAGUGCCAACUGUAAAGUUUGGUGGAGGAGGAAUAAUGUCUGGGCUGUUUUUCAUGGUUCAGGCUAGGCCACUUAGUUCCAGUGAAGGAAAAUCUUAACGCUACAGCAUACAAUGACAUUCUAGAUUAUUCUGUGCUUCCAACUUUGUGGCAAUAGUUUGGGGAAGGCCCUUUCCUGUUUCAGCAUGACAAUGCCCCCGUGCGUGCACAAAUGAGGUCAAUCCAGAAAUGGUUUGUCAUGAUCGGUGUGGAAUAACUUGACUGGCAUGCACAGAGCCCUGAUCUCAACCCCAUCGAACACCUCUAGGAUGAAUUGGAACGCCGACUGUGAGCCAGGCCGAAUAGCCCAACAUCAGUGCUCCACUUCACUAAUGCUCUUCUGGCUGAACGGAAAUAUGUCCCCACAGCAAUGUUCCAACAUCUAGUGGAAAGCCUUCCCAGAAGAGUGGAGGCUGUUAUAGCAGCAAACGGUGGACCAACUCCAUAUUAAUGCCCAUGAUUUUGGAAUGAGGUGUUUAACGAGCAGGUGUCCACAUACUUUUGGACAUGUAGUGUUUGUACCUCUUUCACUCCAGUAUCCCUGCACAUUGUAAAUAUAGUAUUGGAACUGACCCUGUAUACAGUAUAGCUUACUUACUUCUCAUGUUCUUCUUAGUUUUAUUUAUUGUGUGUUUUUGUUCUACCUUAUGUUAUUUUUACUACUACAUUGAUAAUGAUUACUGAUUAUUGUUGGGUUUAGUGCUUGCAAGAAAGGCAUUUCACUGUAUUUGUGCACAUGACAUUAAAAGUUUACAUUUGACUUGUUUUAACCCCUUAUAUAUAAACAGUGCAUUUGUAAGAACAUCAUAUAGACCUAGGCCAGACUCUAACAUGUUAUAUAAAGUUUAGGUCAUAUAAUAACAAUAUACAUAUUUCUUCCAUCAAUAGUACGUUUAGAGGUGUGUCCACAACUGUAGCGUUUAUAGUAAUGUAGUACUGUACAGGCCUACUAAAUUAGCUCUGUCGUCAAAACAGAGGUGUUAGAGGUGUGUCCACAACUGUAGCGUUUAUAGUAAUGUAGUACUGUACAGGCCUACUAAAUUAGCUCUGUCGUCAAAACAGAGGUGUUAGAGGUGUGUCCACAACUGUAGCGUUUAUAGUAAUGUAGUACUGUACAGGCCUACUAAAUUAGCUCUGUCGUCAAAACAGAGGUGUUAGAGGUGUGUCCACGACUGUAGCGUUUAUAGUAAUGUAGUACUGUACAGGCCUACUAAAUUAGCUCUGUCGUCAAAACAGAGGUGUUAGAGGUGUGUCCACGACUGUAGCUUUAUAGUAAUGUAGUACUGUACAGGCCUACUAAAUUAGCUCUGUCGUCAAAACAGAGGUGUUAGAGGUG